AUUGAACGCUGGCGGCAUGCCUUACACAUGCAAGUCGAACGGCAGCACGGGAGCAAUCCUGGUGGCGAGUGGCGAACGGGUGAGUAAUAUAUCGGAACGUGCCCAGUAGUGGGGGAUAGCCCGGCGAAAGCCGGAUUAAUACCGCAUACGACCUGUGGGUGAAAGCGGGGGAUCGCAAGACCUCGCGCUAUUGGAGCGGCCGAUAUCAGAUUAGCUAGUUGGUGGGGUAAAGGCCUACCAAGGCGACGAUCUGUAGCUGGUCUGAGAGGACGACCAGCCACACUGGGACUGAGACACGGCCCAGACUCCUACGGAGGCAGCUGUGGGGAAUUUUGGACAAUAGGCGCAAGCCUGAUCCAGCCAUGCCGCGUGUGG
rnacentral:rRNA from 1 species